ACUGAGAUCCAAGGCAAUGGGCCACCCAUCAAAGCAGAAUCCCGACCCAACUUUUGGUGGAGAUUGGGGAAUGGCCUUCAAUUCCAUCCAGAAUCCAGCAACUCCAGGAGAGUUAAUAGUUACCCCAGGCCGAGCGUGGUGGUACACGCCUGUAAUCCCAGCACUCGGGGAGCUGACGCAGGAGGAUCGCUGUGAGUUCAAGACCAGCCUGAGCUACAUAGUGAGUUCCAAGUCAGUCUCACUACAUAGUGAGACUCUGUCUCAAAAAACAAAAAAAUUAAAAAAAAUAGUUACCCCAAAAUGAGAAAGCGCCUUGUUAUUAUUCUAUAAAAUGAGAAGAACACUGAAAUUCGCAGUUCUGACAAUCUUUAAAGUCUGAAACUGAAAGACGAAGGAGUGGUCUCUUGACUUUCUGGACAGGCAGACCAUGACCUGGAGUACUCCAUUUAUACAGGGAUGGGGCUGCUCAAGUCCCUUUGCAAACAGAAUUUAUUCACUAGGGUACCCGUUAUGGAGUUAAGAAAAGUCUGGUUUUCUAGUUGGCUCAUUAGUUUGUUUUUCAAGGGC
rnacentral:lncRNA from 1 species